rnacentral:misc_RNA from 1 species
CUCUCCAUCUCUGCGCUGCUGCCGGCUGCGCCAUCCAGCACCCAGACUCCAGCACCGGCCGAGGACCCCCACUCCGGCUGCAGGGACCCUGUCCCAGCGAGACCGCAGGCAUGUCAUCCGAAAAGUCAGCCAUAUGCAGGCGGGACCCCGGGGGGAACAGGAGUGACCUCCACUCUCCCCCCGCCGCCCCAGGGCCCAGGGCUGGCCCUACUGGAGCCGAGGCGCCCGCCACACGACUACAUGCCCAUCGCGGUGCUGACCACCAUCUGUUGCUUCUGGCCUACUGGCAUCAUUGCCAUCUUCAAGGCCGUGCAGGUGCGCACGGCCUUGGCCCGCGGAGACAUGGUGUCGGCCGAGAUCGCUUCACGCGAGGCCCGGAACUUCUCCUUCAUCUCCCUGGCCGUGGGCAUCGCGGCCAUGGUGCUCUGUACCAUCCUCACCGUAGUCAUCAUCAUCGCCGCGCAGCACCACGAGAACUACUGGGAUCCCUAAAAACGCCCCUGGUCCGGCCCCACUCUGCGCCCCUCGAUCUCCCAGGCUCUUUCUGCAGUCAUACCGCGGACCCAAUGGGCGCCCUGCACACCCGUUUCUGGGGCCGUCAGACUUGGAUACAUCGUAAACUCCGCCUCCACGGAACGUCUCGCCUUGCGAGCAAGCUCGGAAUCCAGUUCCUCAGGAACCCCUCCAAAACCCACACCCCCAGGGACGCCGCUUUCCGGGAUCCCGGCCAAACGCCGGACCCUCAGUCGCUCCAGGCCCCCUCACCCUCAAAGUGUAGCGCCCCCAACCGAGCAACCUCGGUUUGGUCCCUAAAACCCCGCCUCCUCUAUAAGCACCGCCCCAGCUCUGACAAAACCCCGCCUCCAGGUCGGCAGGCUCCGCCUUCUUUUCUUCUCCGCGGGGUGAUUCAGUCCAGUGAUUGGGUUUGUGGCUCCAGGCCUCGCCCACAGACGGACAGACCCCUCCCUUUCUUCCGGCAAAAGGACCGAGCCCUGGGGUAGUAAGGCCCCCACACUCCUGUUUUUUGCAAGUACAUUUUUGUCCCUCCUCCACCCAGGUAUCUGCCUAUUUUCUUGCUAAUCCCAGAACCUUUCCUUUUGCUUUUUUUAAGGACAUUUGGGAAGUUCCUGGUGUAGGACCCUUCUCCCUGGGAUAAGAAACCUGCCUGUAAACGCUCUGUAAAUACUCCCUUCCACCCAUCCCAGCCCCUGGGCAGCCGGGCAGAAGGGAAUCCAGGCUAUGGACCUCCCAAGUCCCCGCUCCCCGCUCCCCUCGGCGGCCCCGCCUUGUUCUGAUCUGUGUGUGAGUGUGUGUGAACUUCUGAAAGACAAUAUUAAAGAGACUUAGUUGAUUUA